AUGGGAAUAGGACUAUUUCCUGAUGUGGGUGGAGGUUAUUUCUUGCCAAGACUUCAAGGAAAACUCGGUUACUUCCUUGCACUGACAGGAUACAGACUAAAGGGAAGAGAUGUGCACAGAGUGGGAAUUGCCACACACUUUGUAGAUUCGGGAAAGUCACAUGUGUCACAUGUGUGGGAGGAGGAGCUGUUAGCAUUAAAGUCACCUUCAGCUGAGGUUGUUGCAGGUGUCUUAGAAAGCUAUCAUGCCAAGUCCAAGAUGGAUCAAGACAAAUCUAUCAUAUUUGAGGAACACAUGGACAAAAUAAACAGUUGUUUUUCAGCCAAUACCGUGGAACAGAUAAUUGAAAACUUAAGGCAAGAUGGUUCACCUUUUGCCAUAGAACAGAUGAAGGUAAUUAAUAAAAUGUCUCCGACAUCACUAAAGAUCACACUAAGGCAACUCAUGGAGGGCUCUUCAAAGACCUUGCAAGAGGUACUGACCAUGGAAUAUCGGAUAACUCAAGCAUGUAUGUUCUCAUUGACAAAGACCAGACUCCAAAAUGGAAACCAGCCAAACUAAAAGAUGUUACGGAUGAAGACUUGAAUAGUUACUUUAAAUCUCUGGGAAGCAGUGAUUUGAAAUUCUAGAGUUUAUUUUGGAGCAAAGGUCAACACCUCAUAGCACAGAGGCUAGGCCUAGCAUCUUGCCCAGUUUCAUGCAGCCUGCAAGCUGGAAAUGGUUUUCUCAUUUUUAAAUGAUUGGGAAGGGAAUGAAAAGACUAAUAUUUCAUGAUACAGUGGUUGCCCAAAGUUUAAGCACCAAUGUUUGUAACUUUUCAUGAUAUGACAGCUGAAGUCCAAACACCAAUGUAUUAUGGAACCUUCCUGCAGCGUAGCAGAACUUCUCUACAGCUGCUUGGAGUGGCCAGAGCACAGACUUUAUGACCCACAGCAGCUCAAGGGUCUAAGUUUCUACUCCAGUCUUCAUCAGAAAUGGUUUGUUGGCUCCUGGU